AGAGUUUGAUCCUGGCUCAGGAUGAACGCUGGCGGUAUGCUUAACACAUGCAAGUCGAACGAAUUAAUGGGUAACUAUUAGUUAGUGGCGGACGGGUGAGUAACGCGUAAGAAUCUACCUUUUGGAGAGGGAUAACAUCGGGAAACUGAUGCUAAUACCUCAUAGUACUGAGGAGUUAAAGCAGCGAAAGCUGGCCAAAAGAGGAGCUUGCGUCUGAUUAGCUAGUUGGUGAGGGUAAAAGCCUCCCAAGGCCACGAUCAGUAGCUGGUUUGAGAGGAUGAUCAGCCACACUGGGACUGAGACACGGCCCAGACUCCUACGGGAGGCAGCAGUGAGGAAUUUUCCGCAAUGGGCGAAAGCCUGACGGAGCAAUACCGCGUGGGUGAAGACGGCCUGUGGGUUGUAAAGCCCUUUUCUCAGAGAAGAACAAAUGACGGUACCUGAGGAAUAAGCUCCGGCUAACCCUGUGCCAGCAGCCGCGGUAAUACAGGGGGAGCAAGCGUUAUCCGGAAUGAUUGGGCGUAAAGCGUCUGUAGGUGGUCUAAAAAGUCUACUGUCAAAUACCAAGGCUUAACCUUGGGCAGGCAUUAGAGUACUUUUAGACUUGAGUGCGGUAGAGGUAGAGGGAAUCCCUAGCGUAACAGUGAAAUGUGUAGAUUUUAGGGAGAACACCAGCGGCGAAGGCGCUCUACUGGGCCGAGACUGACACUGAGAGACGAAAGCUAAGGGAGAGAAUAGGAUUAGAUACCCUAGUAUUCUUAGCUGUAAACGAUGGAAACUAAGUGCUGCCGAAUGCAGUGCUGUAGCUAACGCGUUAAGUUUCCCGCCUGGGGAGUAUGCCCGCAAGGGUGAAACUCAAAGGAAUUGACGGGGGCCCGCACAAGCAGUGGAUUAUGUGGUUUAAUUCGAUACAACGCGAAGAACCUUACCAAGGUUUGACAUACUCAGAAUUUUCCAGAAAUGGAUUAGUGCCAGCAAUGGAACUGAGAUACAGGUGGUGCAUGGCUGUCGUCAGCUCGUGCGUUGACGUGUAUGGUUAAGUCCUGCAACGAGCGCAACCCUCGUCUUUAGUUAAAUACUCUAAAGAGACUGCCAGUGCAAACUGGAGGAAGGUGAGGAUGACGUCAAGUCAGCAUGCCCCUUACACCUUGGGCUACACACGUAAUACAAUGGUUGGGACAAUCAGAAGCGAUCCUGCGAAGGCUAGCGAAUCUGUUAAACCCAACCUCAGUUCGGAUUGCAGGCUGCAACUCGCCUGCAUGAAGUCGGAAUUGCUAGUAAUCGCCAAUCAGCUAUGUGGCGGUGAAUACGUUCCCGGGCCUUGUACACAUCGCCCGUCACGUCAAGAAAGGAGAUUCUUCCCAAAGUCGGUAGUCUAACCGUUUGGAAGGCGCUGCCAAAGGAAGGGUUUCUGAUCAUGAUGAAGUCGUAACAAGGU
rnacentral:rRNA from 1 species